rnacentral:rRNA from 1 species
AUCCGUAGGUGUUCUGAGAGGAUGAUCCAUCCACCCUGGAAUUGAGACGCGGUCCAGUCUCCUACGGGAGGCAGCAGUGGGGAAAAUUGGACUUUGGGCGCAAGCCUGAUCCAGCUAUACCGGGUGGGUGAAGAAGCCCUUGGGGUUGUAAAGCUUUUUUGUUGGGAAAGAAAAGCAGCCAGUUAAUACCUGGUUGUUCUGAUGGUACCCAAAGAAUAAGCACCGGUUAACUUUGUGCCAGCAGCCGCGGUAAUACGAAGGGUGCAAGCGUUACUCGGAAUUACUGGGCGUAAAGCGUGCGUAGGUGGUUGUUUAAGUCUGUUGUGAAAGCCCUGGGCUCAACCUGGGAAUUGCAGUGGAUACUGGGCGACUAGAGUGUGGUAGAGGGUAGUGGAAUUCCUGGUGUAGCAGUGAAAUGCGUAGAGAUCAGGAGGAACAUCCAUGGCGAAGGCAGCUACCUGGACCAACACUGACACUGAGGCACGAAAGCGUGGGGAGCAA